CAAGAAAGGACUUCUUAUAGGACUCCAUCUUCUAACGCAUCAGAGAGAGACUCACCCACAAAAGAAAGACCAUCUUUCUAAAGAUCUCCGGGUUCCUGCAGUGUUGAGUGCGCAGAGGAGAAAUGAACUGCAGAAGCGCUCAUGACAGAUGGCCAAGCGUUUUUAUGCACACAUCUAAAGCAUAAGAACCCACAUCAUAAUUAAUUAUUUACUAAAUAUGUUUUUUUUUCCUUUCAAAGUAAGCCAGCCAGUGUGAGAAACAGUUUCAUAAAAAUCUAAUUCUCACUUGCAUACUUACAAGCGCCCGUGUUUGUCAUUUUAAAAUGAGACACUGUAGAUUUUGGCCUUUUUAGCAUCCCAUCAUUUUUUUAUUCUUUUCAAUUUAAAGAAAACAUGCCAAAUACACUAGUACAUGUAUAUAUAUAUUUUUGUCAAUUUAUCAACUUGUUUUUGUAGAUUAAAUACAUUUUCUAAAAUUC